rnacentral:rRNA from 1 species
ACGAAGGGGGCUAGCGUUGUUCGGAAUCACUGGGCGUAAAGCGCACGUAGGCGGAUCUUUAAGUCAGAGGUGAAAUCCCAGGGCUCAACCCUGGAACUGCCUUUGAUACUGGGGAUCUCGAGUCCGGGAGAGGUGAGUGGAACUGCGAGUGUAGAGGUGAAAUUCGUAGAUAUUCGCAAGAACACCAGUGGCGAAGGCGGCUCACUGGCCCGGUACUGACGCUGAGGUGCGAAAGCGUGGGGAGCAAACAGG